GAUGAACGCUGGCGGCGUGCCUAAUACAUGCAAGUCGAGCGAACGGACGAGAAGCUUGCUUCUCUGAUGUUAGCGGCGGACGGGUGAGUAACACGUGGAUAACCUACCUAUAAGACUGGGAUAACUUCGGGAAACCGUAGCUAAUACCGGAUAAUAUUUUGAACCGCAUGGUUCAAAAGUGAAAGACGGUCUUGCUGUCACUUAUAGAUGGAUCCGCGCUGCAUUAGCUAGAUGGUAAGGUAACGGCUUACCAAGGCAACGAUGCAUAGCCGACCUGAGAGGGUGAUCGGCCACACUGGAACUGAGACACGGUCCAGACUCCUACGGGAGGCAGCAGUAGGGAAUCUUCCGCAAUGGGCGAAAGCCUGACGGAGCAACGCCGCGUGAGUGAUGAAGGUCUUCGGAUCGUAAAACUCUGUUAUUAGGGAAGAACAUAUGUGUAAGUAACUGUGCACAUCUUGACGGUACCUAAUCAGAAAGCCACGGCUAACUACGUG
rnacentral:rRNA from 1 species